ACCGAAUUCAGACAAACUCCGAAUGCCAAUUAAUUUAACUUGGGAGUCAGAACAUGGGUGAUAAGGUCCGUGUUCGAAAGGGAAACAGCCCAGACCACCAGCUAAGGUCCCAAAAUAUAUGUUAAGUGGAAAAGGAUGUGGCGUUGCCCAGACAACUAGGAUGUUGGCUUAGAAGCAGCCAUCAUUUAAAGAGUGCGUAAUAGCUCACUAGUCGAGUGACACUGCGCCGAAAAUGUACCGGGGCUAAACAUAUUACCGAAGCUGUGGAUUGUCCUUUGGACAAUGGUAGGAGAGCGUUCUAAGGGCGUUGAAGCAUGAUCGUAAGGACAUGUGGAGCGCUUAGAAGUGAGAAUGCCGGUGUGAGUAGCGAAAGACGGGUGAGAAUCCCGUCCACCGAUUGACUAAGGUUUCCAGAGGAAGGCUCGUCCGCUCUGGGUUAGUCGGGUCCUAAGCUGAGGCCGACAGGCGUAGGCGAUGGAUAACAGGUUGAUAUUCCUGUACCACCUAUA
rnacentral:rRNA from 1 species